rnacentral:rRNA from 1 species
UACAGAGGGUGCGAGCGUUAAUCGGAAUUACUGGGCGUAAAGCGUGCGCAGGCGGUUUUGUAAGCCAGAUGUGAAAUCCCCGGGCUCAACCUGGGAAUGGCAUUUGGGACUGCAAGGCUGGAGUUUGGCAGAGGAGACUGGAAUUCCUGGUGUAGCAGUGAAAUGCGUAGAUAUCAGGAGGAAUACCGAUGGCGAAGGCAGGUCUCUGGGCUAUAACUGACGCUCAUGCACGAAAGCGUGGGGAGCAAACAGG